GCUGGCGGCAGGCCUAACACAUGCAGGUCGAGCGGUAACAGAAAGAAAGCUUGCUUUCUUUGCUGACGAGCGGCGGACGGGUGAGUAAUGCCUGGGAAUAUGCCUUAGUGUGGGGGAUAACUAUUGGAAACGAUAGCUAAUACCGCAUAACGUCUUCGGACCAAAGAGGGGGACCUUCGGGCCUCUCGCGCUAAGAUUAGCCCAGGUGGGAUUAGCUAGUUGGUGAGGUAAAGGCUCACCAAGGCAACGAUCCCUAGCUGGUCUGAGAGGAUGAUCAGCCACACUGGAACUGAGACACGGUCCAGACUCCUACGGGAGGCAGCAGUGGGGAAUAUUGCACAAUGGGGGAAACCCUGAUGCAGCCAUGCCGCGUGUAUGAAGAAGGCCUUCGGGUUGUAAAGUACUUUCAGUCGUGAGGAAGGCAUUGUAGUUAAUAGCUGCAGUGCUUGACGUUAGCGACAGAAGAAGCACCGGCUAACUCCGUG
rnacentral:rRNA from 1 species